GCUCUGAUAUAGCUCAGUCGGUAGAGCAUGAGCCUCUUAAUCUCAGGGUCGCGGGUUCAAGUCCCAUGUUGGGUG